GCAUAACUUGGGACUUACCUUUAG
rnacentral:siRNA from 1 species